GCGUUACACACAACUUCAUUGCCCAGCUUUCUUUCUUGACUGCAAAGAUAAAUAGGUAGCAAAAUUGCAAAAAUUUGCAAAAAUGCGGGUCCUCAAAAUUUGCUCGCUUUUGUUCUCACUCGGCCAAUUUCUGCUAGUGUUAAAGUUGAUCGAAUUAGUGCGAGGAAACCCGACCCCACCCUCAAAUCUACAAAUUCAAGAAAAUAUCCCCCAGCAAAAUGACGCCACUGGACGAAGUUUUUUCCUUGCGCCGUCCAAAGUGAAGCAAAAGAAGUACAAGCUGUGGGGCACCACGACCACUGUUGAGACGCCCACAACCGAUCUCGUUGACCGCUUCGGGCUCGAAAAUGAGGAAGAGUAUCAAUUCGAAUCGGUCAAAAACUCGUCAGAUUUGUCACCACUUCGAAAAAAUGGGACGAUUGUGCCGACGGUUGAGGGGCGGUUGUGUCCAGUGAGAUUCUUUUUCUUUACCUUCUGCCCGCUUGACAUUCCCUUUGCUAGACUUCUUUUCUCCAAGGAACUCAUGGACGACUACUACAAAUCACAAAACUGACUCUAGUAUUUUUAACGGCUUGACGUGUAGAGUAAUAUUUAUUAAGUAAUAGUGAUUCAGAUACCAAAUUAGCAGUGAUGAAAUUCCAUUAAGCACUUAAAUACUUUAAGAACCGGAUGACUCAUCGCUAAAAUCGGUUGUGAAGGUGGGACAUGCGGAGGAAGCCUUUCCUCCUACGGCUUCCCUGUCAUUCCCGUCGUAAUUGCGAUCAUAAUCGGAAUUAUUUGGUUCUUCAUUUUCUUCUUCUUAUGGUACUUUGCAAGUGAACCCGUCAAAGCUGGAUAUUCAGAGUCAAACUCAAAUUCUGGAGGUUACGGUUAUGCAGCAAGUGAACAAAGUGGGGGAUACACGUCAAGGAUGAAUAAUGACCCUGGCAGUAUAUUUGGCCUUUUUAACUCCAACAAUAACUUUAACCAGCUAACGACAAUGGUCACCGAGUCUUUGUUCAAGUUGGCCGCAUUAUACAAUUCAACUUAACAAACUAUUUAUGUACAUAUGUAAUUCAGAUGCCAAUCUCAUUGCCAUUUAAUUUGUCCGGAUUGACACAUACAUAAGUUUUAACAGGUUUAAUUUAUUUUGCAUAAAGUAUAUCUUAUCUCGUUUAUGGACGCAGUCGAUAUUAAAUAAAAUGAACAAAAUGUA